GGGGGUGUAGCUCAGUGGCAGAGCGCUUGCCUGGCAUGUGUAAGACCCUGAGUUCCAUCCCCA
rnacentral:tRNA from 1 species